CCUACGGGAGGCAGCAGUGAGGAAUAUUGGUCAAUGGCCGGGAGGCUGAACCAGCCAAGUCGCGUGAGGGAAGACGGCCCUACGGGUUGUAAACCUCUUUUGUCAGGGAGCAAGGUGCAGGUCGGGACCUGCUGUGAGAGUAACUGAAGAAAAAGAAUCGGCUAACUACGUGCCAGCAGCCGCGGUAAUAUGGAGGAGGCGAGCGUUCUCCGGAUGUAUGGGGUUUAAAGGGUGCGCAGGCGGAGGCACAAGUCAGCGGUAAAAUCGAGGGGCUCAACCCCGCUCCGCCGUGGAAACUGUGUCCCUUGAGUGCGCGAAGGGUAGGCGGAAUGCGUGGUGUAUCGGUGAAAUGCAUAGCUAUCACGCAGAACUCCGAUCGCGAAGGCAGCCUACCGGCGCGCAACUGACGCUCAUGCACGAAAGCGUGGGUAUCGAACAGGAUUAGAUACCCUUGUAGUC
rnacentral:rRNA from 1 species